rnacentral:rRNA from 1 species
UACGAAGGGAGCUAGCGUUGUUCGGAAUUACUGGGCGUAAAGCGCGCGUAGGUGGUUCAGCAAGUUGAAGGUGAAAUCCCCGGGCUCAACCUGGGAACUGCCUCCAAAACUACUGAGCUAGAGUACGGUAGAGGGUAGUGGAAUUUCCUGUGUAGCGGUGAAAUGCGUAGAUAUAGGAAGGAACACCAGUGGCGAAGGCGACUACCUGGACUGAUACUGACACUGAGGUGCGAAAGCGUGGGGAGCAAACAGG